UACGAAGGGGGCUAGCGUUGCUCGGAAUCACUGGGCGUAAAGGGUGCGUAGGCGGGUCUUUGAGUCAUGGGUGAAAUCCUGGAGCUCAACUCCAGAACUGCCUUUGAUACUGAGGAUCUUGAGUUCGGGAGAGGCGAGUGGAACUGCGAGUGUAGAGGUGAAAUUCGUAGAUAUUCGGAAGAACACCAGUGGCGAAGGCGACUUACUGGACACAUAUUGACGCUGAGGUGCGAAAGCGUGGGGAGCAAACAGG
rnacentral:rRNA from 1 species